AACCAGUUCAUCGCGGUGUCAUUAUUCUCAAACAAGUGCUAUCCCAAGUUUCAUCUCUAGAAUGCCCUUGAAAAUGGGAAGGCAUAAACGAACUGGAAGAAGAAAGUGGGCAGUUCAAUGCGUCCCUUGUCAGUAUUGGGUGAAGACCACAAGGUAGCCUGGAAGUCGUUUUCCAUGCCAUUCCAUCUUCGGAUUUAAAACGGAGACAAAUCUCGUAGAUCUUUGAGCAAAUCCAAGGUGGAACUUCGACAAUUCAAGCCUUUGGCCAAUUGAUCUCUACAUUCGGAAGCCAAA